rnacentral:rRNA from 1 species
GAGGAAUAUUGGUCAAUGGGCGAGAGCCUGAACCAGCCAAGUCGCGUGAGGGAAGGAGGCCCUACGGGUCGUAAACCUCUUUUGUCGGGGAGCAACGGCCGGAACGGGUUCCGGCGUGAGAGUACCCGAAGAAAAAGCAUCGGCUAACUCCGUGCCAGCAGCCGCGGUAAUACGGAGGAUGCGAGCGUUAUCCGGAUUUAUUGGGUUUAAAGGGUGCGCAGGCGGACCCUCAAGUCGGCGGUAAAAUGUCGGGGCUCAACCCCGUCGUGCCGUCGAAACUGGGGGUCUAGAGUGGCCGCGAGGGAUGCGGAAUGUGCGGUGUAGCGGUGAAAUGCAUAGAUAUCACACAGAACUUCGAUUGCGAAGGCAGCAUUCCAGCGGUCAACUGACGCUGAGGCACGAAAGUGCGGGUAUCGAAC